GAUGAACGCUGGCGGCGUGCCUAAUACAUGCAAGUCGAGCGAACAGACGAGGAGCUUGCUCCUCUGACGUUAGCGGCGGACGGGUGAGUAAUACGUGGAUAACCUACCUAUAAGACUGGGAUAACUUCGGGAAACCGGAGCUAAUACCGGAUAAUAUAUUGAACCGCAUGGUUCAAUAGUGAAAGACGGUUUUGCUGUCACUUAUAGAUGGAUCCGCGCCGCAUUAGCUAGUUGGUAAGGUAACGGCUUACCAAGGCAACGAUGCGUAGCCGACCGGAGAGGGUGAGCGGCCACACUGGAAAUGAGACACGGUCCAGACUCCUACGGGAGGCAGCAGUAGGGAAUCUUCCGCAGUGGGCGAAAGCCUGACGGAGCAACGCCGCGUGAGUGAUGAAGGUCUUCGGAUCGUAAAACUCUGUUAUUAGGGAAGAACGAAUGUGUAAGUAACUAUGCACGUCUUGACGGUACCUAAUCAGAAAGCCACGGCUAACUACGUGCCAGCCGCCGCCGUAA
rnacentral:rRNA from 1 species